GUUCUCGAGGGUGAUCUGGCUGUGACAUCUGUCACCCCAUUGAUCGCCAGCCAGGGUUGAUUUGGCUGAUCUGGCUGGCUAGGCCGGUGUCUCCUCCUUCCCUCACCACUCCAUAUGCCUCCCUCCUGAAGCUGUGCACUAGGUCGAAGAGGACAAUUUUCCCCGAAUAGAGGAGGACUGGUCUUUGGUCAAGGGUAUAUGAGUAGCUGUGCUCCCCUGCUAAAACCUCCAAACAAGCUCAAAGUCUAUACUCCAUUUUUAAUUGACUUAUUUAAUU
rnacentral:sRNA from 1 species